rnacentral:rRNA from 1 species
UACGUAGGGUGCGAGCGUUGUCCGGAAUUAUUGGGCGUAAAGAGCUUGUAGGCGGUUUGUCGCGUCUGCCGUGAAAAUUCGAGGCUCAACCUCGGACUUGCGGUGGGUACGGGCAGACUAGAGUGUGGUAGGGGAGACUGGAAUUCCUGGUGUAGCGGUGAAAUGCGCAGAUAUCAGGAGGAACGCCGAUGGCGAAGGCAGGUCUCUGGGCCACUACUGACGCUGAGAAGCGAAAGCAUGGGGAGCGAACAGG